GUGGGGAAUUUUGGACAAUGGGCGCAAGCCUGAUCCAGCAAUGCCGCGUGCAGGAAGAAGGCCUUCGGGUUGUAAACUGCUUUUGUACGGAACGAAACGGUCCGGGUUAAUACCCUGGGCUAAUGACGGUACCGUAAGAAUAAGCACCGGCUAACUACGUGCCAGCAGCCGCGGUAAUACGUAGGGUGCAAGCGUUAAUCGGAAUUACUGGGCGUAAAGCGUGCGCAGGCGGUUUUGUAAGACAGUGGUGAAAUCCCCGGGCUCAACCUGGGAACUGCCAUUGUGACUGCAAGGCUAGAGUGCGGCAGAGGGGGAUGGAAUUCCGCGUGUAGCAGUGAAAUGCGUAGAUAUGCGGAGGAACACCGAUGGCGAAGGCAAUCCCCUGGGCCUGCACUGACGCUCAUGCACGAAAGCGUGGGGAGCAAACAGGAUUAGAAACCCGAGUAGUCC
rnacentral:rRNA from 1 species